rnacentral:misc_RNA from 1 species
GCAAACUUGGUCAUUUAGAGGAAGUAAAAGUCGUAACAAGGUUUCCGUAGGUGAACCUGCGGAAGGAUCAUUAGCGAAGCAACGCCCCCGGAGGUUGUGCUGGCGCCCUGCGCGCACGUGCACGCCCCGGUCGGGUCGCCCGCCGUCCCACACCUGUGCACACGUCCCGUCGGACUCGGAGGGGGGCCUGCGUGCCCCUCGCCCGUCCCGGCGCAUUCACAUCGCCCAUGUUGUAUGUCCGAAAGCCACUGCGCUUGCGCAACCUAGAAACAACUUUUAACAACGGAUCUCUUGGUUCUCGCAUCGAUGAAGAACGCAGC